CUCGUGAUCUGCUCACCUCGGCCUCCCAAAGUGCUGGGAUUACAGGCAUGAGCCACUCGUGCCCAGCCACAGCUGCAUUUAUUAAUGCUACAAGAGACCUACCUCUAGUUGCUAAACUAUUAGGCCCUCUUCAGUCAAUUGAUCACAUCCUCAAUUAUACAGCUUUUUUUUUCUUUCCCACACCUUUCUUGCUUCCACAGAUUAAAUUUAAUUGUCCUUUUAGAGCUGUUAAAAUAGAAGGAUCAUUUCCACCUAACCCCCCUGCCCAGUUCUGUGCAGGAUAAAUAGCUUAAGAAAACUCAGCCUGCUGCAUCCAAAUCCCCACACUGCACCAGCCUGGUCACUAUCACAUGGACCCCAUUCUAGUGUGUCAGUAUCUUUCCUUAAGGGGGCCACACAAUAAAAUAAAUGUUUGGUUCCAUGAGUGGCCCCACCAGUGCCAUGGAGGUCAGUGCUGUCUCCUCCUUGGGAAUUUGUGUUGCUGUCCCCAAGUGACAACCAUCCAGCAGGUUCACUCUCAGAGCUCCAACCUGGCCAUGGCUACAUUUGGAAAAGAAAUUAAACAUUUCUCUAAAUAUUGGAAAAGCAGAGCCCGAUUGCCCUUUUCUCAACUUUGUUUCUUUUAAUCUAAACUGCAAACACAGGUCACACUUUGUGAAGAGAAAUCUCAUUUGUGUCUCUGGGCACUGCUUUGGGAUUCAGAACUUAGGUUCUUAAGAUUUAUGACAGACUGAUGCUGUGAAAUCAGUUGUUCCUGGCUGCAAAUCAUGAAAUCAGCACCGAGUUGGCCAUAAAAAAUGAAAGUUUUAUGGUAAGUGGUUUAAGAAAAAUGCAGAAUAUGAGUCCUUUGUGAUGUAUAUGUUUUAGAGCAGCAAUUCCCUAUUUUUAAUUUUUUUUGAAAACAUUCUCCAUUGCCAUAGUAGGAAAACAUCAUGAAGUAACUUCAUUGAAAACAGCUAUGUAUAUAGAAUAGCAUAUAAUGGUUCUGUCAGACUUAUUUUCCUACUAGCUGAAGCAUAAAUGUAGGAUGAUGAUUUUUUUUCCUGAGGAAUUAGAUUUUAUUAAAAUAGUUGCUUUGUAUCUCAUUCAGCCUUGAAGUCAAAGCAAUGGGAUCCUACAUAAAUGAAAUUUGUUGAUCUAGUGCAAGCUAAUACAGAAAUCAAUUUCAAUUUCCUUUGGAUGUACUAUUAGUGUUUAUCUGAUGGUGGAUUUGUGUUGUUUUAAGUGAUAGCUAUAACAACCAAAAAUACUGAUUAGAUACUAGGAGCCAUUCUUGAUCUCAAUUCAGAAAGAGUGUGGCAUUAUCCUUUUUGUGUAUAAUGAAUUGGUUCUGUAUCACAGUUUUUAAUUGAUCAUUCCCAAUAUUAAGUUCCUCCAAAAGUUUAAUAAUCUUUUUUUCUGUGGCAUUCAUUAUCAGAUGAGGAUUGAGAUAAUCCAUCCUUAUGAUGGCCUUCCAUGACUUCAGCUAAUGGGACUAUGUGUUUUGUGGAACAUACCUAAAUUGCUAGGGUUAAAACAGCUCAUUUGGAUAAUUACAGUUGGUCUCUCUUAAUAGGCCUGUGAUUUCAUUCUAUGUUCAAUUAGACGAAUACUUAACUAUGACUUCAUGAUGAAGGGAUAAAGGCAUGGUUUUAAACCGAACUCCUCUGAGGGACUGGAGGCCUUUUCCCUAUGACUAGAUCUUGAGAGUGUUACCAGAGGUUCAAGGUCACACAGCUGCCCUGAAACUUGGGAUGUUGGCUGUUCAAAUGUGUUUGUUCGUGGCAGGUGCCACAUCGGCACAGGUGACUUAGAGUGUCACUGACAAUUUGUGGGGCUUCUGCCUAUGGUGGUGUACAUCUCUCGGAUCCAACUCACUGCGGCACUGGCAUCACUCUGAUUUGACUGGUCCCCCUGGAGUGAGGCAGUGCGUGGCUUAUAUGCUGUACACAGACAGCCAUGCUUUCUUGUCUUCAUAUCUCCCUCCACCCUACUUUUUCCCUCGAGCUUGAAUUUGGGAAGCCUUUUCGUACAGGAAGGACCUGAUGGAGGUCCUGAGUGACAAAUUCCCCAAACCUACUUCAUGACUCUGGGGGCCAAAGGGACCUGAAAUUCAGACUAAAAUACUUGACAUAGAAACAUCUCCCUCUUUCUCAUAUCCCAUCUCACACCUCUCCUUGGGCCCCUUCCCCUCCAGCUCAUCUCCAGGAUGCAGUGCAUUUGUUCUGCCCUGCCCCGAGUGUCACCCCCCUUCACUUUUAUUUCAUUUCCCUAAAAUCAACUCUAGGUUCCUCCUGCUUAUAGAAGCAUGGGUAUGUUAUCAUGGAUGCUAAACUUGGGUUAACAACAGCUUUAGGAUAUAUCAUGUAGCAAAUUCAUUCGCAGGAUUGCAUGGGCACAGCUGUUGUAAAUGCCACCUUCAUUUUAGGAUGAUACGGAGUAUUUGAAUACACAGAUCAUCCAUUUCAAACCUCCGCUUAGGGUUCCCUUUAUUAUAUCUUAUUGCUUAGUGGAUAUAAAUUAGUGUAUUUUUGCCACUGUGGAUGAAUUUUCAUGGGCCUGUGUUUCCAAGAAGGGACACCACCUUAGGCAUUAUUUCAUGAAAUAAUAAUAAGCACUACUGUUUUUUGAAUACUUACCAAGUGUCAGGUGCUGAAUGAUAAGUUUACAAAAUAUUUUCUGACUUAUUUUUGCCUCACAUACUAAUAUAAGGAGGGGGUGAUAUAAUCUUCAUUUAUAGAUGAAGCACUGGAAGCUUGUCCACGUUUGUUCUGACUUCUGCGUUUAGGGUCUUUUGUCUCACGUUACAAUCCACGCCCAGCCCUUACUGAUAUUUCCAGGCAUUCAGCCAUCUAUUUGAUAAUUAUCCUUCUCCAUAGAAGCACAGACAGGAGCUGCUUCUUGACUUUGCUGAUGGCUCUUUCUGUCCAUGGAUGUGAGCCCGAGUUGUGCCUGUGGCGUGAUGACCCACAAAUGUUGGCCUAGGUCCUCAUGAUGUGCACAGGGCAGCCUCCCAUGCUUUCUAGCUGUCCUGCUGUGGUUUUGCUUCACUUGGUUACAGAUGUCAACCAGAUUGACUGAUGAAGAAACAUAGUGAAGAUGACAUUUAUGACUUGUCUGAGAGAUCCAGGAGAAAGGUGGGUGUUUAGCAGCUUACUGAUGUAUAAAGACAAAAUUCGAAAAAAACAAAAAACAAAAAAAAACAACUAUUAAAGGACCCCAGUGGAGAAUAACCACAUGCUUAAGUUAUUGUGUGAUCUAGAUAUGGGGAAGUGUGGACAAAUUUGAGAAAGGGAAGUUGCCCAGGCAGCAUUUUUUUUUUCCUAAAAUAUGCCCUUUGAUAUGUGGCUGGUGGGUUCAGUGGUUAGUGUACAGUGUGUACUGUGUUUGAGUCCUAUGUAGACCAAGCUGCUUUUCUGUAUCAAGACCAAACUUGGACAAACUCUCCAUGAGUGCACAUGGUCAGGAUCUGUGUUCAGCAAAAUUUUGUUGUCAGUAAGACUGGCCAUUGCCUAAGUCCAUUUGGGCUGCCAUAAUAAAAUAUCUUUGACCAGGCGAUUUAUAAACAACAGAAGUUUAUUGCUCACAGUUCCGGAAUCUGGUAGGUUCAAAAUCAAGGGACCAGCAGAUUUGUUGUCUGAUGAGGGCUCAUUCUCUGCUUCAUAGAUAGUGUCUUCUGGCUGUGUUUUCAUAUGGUGGAAGGAGUGAACAAGCUCCCUCAGGCCUCUUUUACAUGGGCACUAAUACCAUUCAUGAGGUCUCUGCCUUUAUGACCUAAUCAUCUUCCAAAAGCCUGACCUCCCAAAACCACUGCACCAAGAAUUAUGUUUCAACAUAUGAAUCUGAUGAUGGGGAGAAAGCCACAAGAAGAGAUGUUUUCACUCUUCUCCUGGGCAUUGUCAUGUGGCCACAAGGCUUGGAACCACUGCAGCUAUUUUGUUGUUAUCCAGAGGAAGAUGAAGCUCACAUAAGGAAAUCACAGAGAAUUCCAGGGAUCCAAAACUGGAGCUACUAGGUAGAGUUCAUUCCCAAAGCUUGCUCUACCUUUGUACUUUUUAUUCUGUCAGCCAAUAAAGAUUCUCAUUCUUUA
rnacentral:lncRNA from 1 species